rnacentral:rRNA from 1 species
GAUGAACGCUGGCGGCGUGCCUAAUACAUGCAAGUCGAGCGAACAGAUGAGGAGCUUGCUCCUCUGACGUUAGCGGCGGACGGGUGAGUAACACGUGGAUAACCUACCUAUAAGACUGGGAUAACUUCGGGAAACCGGAGCUAAUACCGGAUAAUAUAUUGAACCGCAUGGUUCAAUAGUGAAAGACGGUUUUGCUGUCACUUAUAGAUUGAUCCGCGCCGCAUUAGCUAGUUGGUAAGGUAACGGCUUACCAAGGCAACGAUGCGUAGCCGACCUGAGAGGGUGAUCGGCCACACUGGAACUGAGACACGGUCCAGACUCCUACGGGAGGCAGCAGUAGGGAAUCUUCCGCAAUGGGCGAAAGCCUGACGGAGCAACGCCGCGUGAGUGAUGAAGGUCUUCGGAUCGUAAAACUCUGUUAUUAGGGAAGAACAAAUGCGUAAGUAACUAUGCACGUCUUGACGGUACCUAAUCAGAAAGCCACGGCUAACUACGUG